rnacentral:rRNA from 1 species
GUGGGGAAUCUUGCGCAAUGGGCGAAAGCCUGACGCAGCCAUGCCGCGUGAAUGAUGAAGGUCUUAGGAUUGUAAAAUUCUUUCACCGGGGACGAUAAUGACGGUACCCGGAGAAGAAGCUCCGGCUAACUUCGUGCCAGCAGCCGCGGUAAUACGAAGGGGGCUAGCGUUGCUCGGAAUUACUGGGCGUAAAGGGCGCGUAGGCGGACAGCUUAGUCAGAGGUGAAAGCCCAGGGCUCAAUCUUGGAAUUGCCUUUGAUACUGGCUGUCUUGAGUUUGGGAGAGGUGAGUGGAACUCCGAGUGUAGAGGUGAAAUUCGUAGAUAUUCGGAAGAACACCAGUGGCGAAGGCGACUCACUGGCCCAAUACUGACGCUGAGGCGCGAAAGCGUGGGGAGCAAACAGGAUUAGAAACCCGGGUAGUCC